GACAGAGGGUGCAAACGUUGUUCGGAAUUACUGGGCGUAAAGCGUGUGUAGGCGGCCACGUAAGUCGGAUGUGAAAGCCCCGGGCUCAACCCGGGAAGUGCACUCGAUACUGCGUGGCUUGAGUAUCGGAGAGGUUGGUGGAAUUCUCGGUGUAGAGGUGAAAUUCGUAGAUAUCGAGAGGAACACCGGUGGCGAAGGCGGCCAACUGGACGAAUACUGACGCUGAGACACGAAAGCGUGGGGAGCAAACAGG
rnacentral:rRNA from 1 species